GGGCCCGCACAAGCGGUGGAGUAUGUGGUUUAAUUCGAUGCAACGCGAAGAACCUUACCAGGGUUUGACAUCCUGCGAAUCUCUUGGAAACUUGAGAGUGCCUUCGGGAGCGCAGUGACAGGUGGUGCAUGGCUGUCGUCAGCUCGUGUCGUGAGAUGUUGGGUUAAGUCCCGCAACGAGCGCAACCCACGUCUUUAGUUGCCAGCAUUUAGUUGGGCACUCUAGAGAGACUGCCGGUGACAAACCGGAGGAAGGUGAGGAUGACGUCAAGUCAGCAUGCCCCUUAUGUCCUGGGCUACACACGUGCUACAAUGGCUAAGACAAAGAGUCGCGAGUUCGUGAGAACCAGCU
rnacentral:rRNA from 1 species